UACAGCCAUAUCAUGUUGAAACACUGGUUCUCAUACGAGCAAGAGUUAAGCAAUGUUGAGCCUGUUCAGUACCUAGAUGGGUGACUGCUUGGGAAUACCAGAUGCU